rnacentral:lncRNA from 1 species
CCUAAGAAUAAGCACAAAUUAAUAUUAAUAUUAUAUUACAUAUUAUAUACCAAUUUUAUAUAUUAUAUUAUAUAUUAUAUUAUAUUAUCUAUUAGAAUAAAAAUAGGAUUAUUAUUAUUAUUAUUAUUAUUAUUAGAAUAGAAUAAUAGGAGAAAUAAAAGUAAAUAUCAUAAUUUGAUUAAUAUGCAUCAAAGUAUUAAU